rnacentral:misc_RNA from 1 species
GAUGAAGACACACUUCCAACAUUAUAGUUUUGAAAUAAGCAAAACACAUUAAACACCCAAUUGUCACAGUAAACAAAACUCUUAGGCAAUAUCUAAGAUUUUUAAGUAAACACACAUAAAACAAGAAACUUGUCAAGAACAUUCAAAGAAUAGGACCAUUUUAUAUAUACACAACCAUAUCUAGAGGAUCAAGGCUACAAAGGGAGAUUUAGGUUAAAAAAGAAGAGGGCUUUGUGUUUUGAAACUUGAGUUUAAAAAGGGAAUCAGAAGAACAUGCAUUCAAUGAUAUGAUUGUAGCUGAAAUGGUUGUUAAAUGGUUUUGUAUUUCAUUUUCCUUGAUAA